GACGAACGCUGGCGGCGGGCCUAAUACAUGCAAGUCGAGCGAAGUUUUUCUGGUGCUUGCACCGGAAAAACUUAGCGGCGAACGGGUGAGUAACACGUAAAGAACCUGCCUCAUAGACUGGGACAACUAUUGGAAACGAUAGCUAAUACCGGAUAACAGCAUUAACUGCAUGGUUGAUGUUUAAAAGUUGGUUUUGCUAACACUAUGAGAUGGCUUUGCGGUGCACUAGCUAGUUGGUGGGGUAAAGGCCUACCAAGGCGACGAUGCAUAGCCGACCUGAGAGGGUGAUCGGCCACACUGGGACUGAGACACGGCCCAGACUCCUACGGGAGGCAGCAGUAGGGAAUCUUCCGCAAUGGGCGAAAGCCUGACGGAGCAACGCCGCGUGAGUGAAGAAGGAUUUCGGUUCGUAAAGCUCUGUUGUUAGGGAAGAAUGAUUGUGUAGUAACUAUACACAGUAGAGACGGACC
rnacentral:rRNA from 1 species